rnacentral:rRNA from 1 species
UACGGAGGGUGCAAGCGUUGUCCGGAUUUAUUGGGUUUAAAGGGUGCGUAGGCGGCCCGGUAAGUCAGUGGUGAAAGCCUCCAGCUCAACUGGAGAACUGCCAUUGAUACUGCCGGGCUUGAGUACAGACGAGGUUGGCGGAAUUGAUUGUGUAGCGGUGAAAUGCAUAGAUACAAUCAAGAACUCCGAUUGCGUAGGCAGCUAACUAGGCUGUAACUGACGCUGAGGCACGAAGGCCAGGGGAGCAAACGGG